rnacentral:rRNA from 1 species
UCUGACGUGGGGGAACCUGACCGCCUGCCGCGUGAGUGAUGAAGGCCUUCGGGUUGUAAAACUCUUUCGACGGGGACGAUAAUGACGGUACCCGUAGAAGAAGCUCCGGCUAACUUCGUGCCAGCAGCCGCGGUAAUACGAAGGGGGCUAGCGUUGUUCGGAAUUACUGGGCGUAAAGCGCGCGCAGGCGGUCUUCCAAUCAGUGGUGAAAGCCUGGAGCUCAACUCCAGAACUGCCAUUGAAACUGUUAGACUUGAGUACGAGAGAGGUGAGUGGAAUUCCCAGUGUAGAGGUGAAAUUUGUAGAUAUUGGGAAGAACACCAGUGGCGAAGGCGGCUCACUGGCUCGUAACUGACGCUCAGGCGCGACA